rnacentral:misc_RNA from 1 species
CACCAUCAGCCGUGUUCUGACACCCGCACUGUGCACAUCUCCGCUCCCCUCUCCUGCCCUCACAACACUUACAUAUAGAAAACAUUUUAAAUCGUUUAGGACUUGGUGGUGAUAUGUAACAUAUAUAAUAUAUAGUCAAGUCUCCGUAGAGGCCCCCAAGAUGGCGGCUAUGCCUGCCUGGAGGAGUUCCUCCAUACUGCAGGCGUCUUUGCCCCUCAUGCUGUUACUGGCUGUCGCCUCGCAUGGCGGCAAAUCCAAGACUUUUCUUAGGAACAACUACAGCCCACAGGAUCAGCCGCAGACCAGGACCAACCUCCAGCAACCAUCUUUCGCCAGGUUCGGGCGCAACUUCAGAGUGGACGAUGAGCCAUCACAAUUCCCAAACUUCGGAGGAUUCCCGGCAGCGUCUUCCACGGGAUCGUUCAGGUCUCCACAAUCGUUAAAAUCAAGAAAAGGAGGCUCCAGGACCUUCGGUGGCCCAAGAGGUUUUCCAGGUUUUGGAGGAGGCCCUGAUUCUUUCUUGGAAGCGGCUACCACGGAGAGGAGCGAGACUGACGAGGAGAUUCAGGCCUUUCAGUUCAGCGGGAGUGCGGGCUUCGAGAGCACAAGGCCAGGGUCCCCAGGAAGCCGUAAGGGUGGAGCCGGCAGGGGCGCCACUAAAGUGGGAGGCGCCAAAUCUCCCUCAGGGUCCUCAUCAUUCGGGUUCCCGGAAGCCUCACCCGGUUUAGGAGGUCGAGAUUCUCCUCCAUUUCCAACAUUCAGUGGAUCAGCCGGUCUAGAUUUCCCUGGACUAACAGGUCAAGAGUUUAAUGCCGCAGGAGAUUUGAUUUUCGGGAGAUCACCACAAGGCCUAGGGUUAAGUGCCCCAGGAGCUCCGACGUUCGGUGGGUCCGCCGUUCCUGAUUUCAAUUUUGGCGCUAAUAAUGCCUUCUUUUCUGGUGCCGAAGUCCCUCCACAGGUCAGGCCUGGUACUGGAAGUACCGCAAACACCUUCACAAACUUCAUGUCAUCAUUCCAAGGCUCUGGCACUAAUCCGUUCGCUUCAUCACCAAUUCAGUUUCCCUCUUCAAGAGGCCAAUUCCCAGGCCCAGCAAGCAGCAUCUUCCCACAGCCAGGAGAAGAAACGUCAGUGCAGUUUCCGCCAAGCCCUAAUUUUGUCAUUCCUGAGACGUCUGCGAGCUUCCCGUAUCCAAUAGACGAGCAUAUAGCCAAUUUACUUCUACGAGAAAUAGAAACUACCACCACAAAGCCGCCUAACCGAGUGAUCUCAGAGGAGGACCGGAAGAAAGUGUUCAGCGGAGGCCUGGAAUUUACAGACGAGGCCGAGUUCGCCAGACUGACGGUUCCCAAAGGCGGCGUGAAGAAGUCCCCAGAGACCAAGAAAGGUUGCAACUCCAAGCCAUCAGCUCCAGCGAACGGGCGGACGGACUGCUCGACGUACGCCGGGUGUCGGGCUGUGUGUAACCCUCGCUACCAGUUUCCAACGGGCGAGCGGCGCCUCUUCCUAACAUGUAAUGACGGCGAGUGGGAAGUUACCGGUGGCUCCUGGGGCACCCUUCCCAACUGUGAACCCAUCUGUAUUCCGCCAUGCGAAAACAGCGGCAUCUGUCUGGCGCCGGACGUGUGCCAGUGUCCGGACAACUGGGAAGGCAGCUCUUGUGAGAUACCCAAGGCGCCGCCCCGCAAGGAAUGCUCCACCAAGCCUCCAACUCCAACCAAUUCCAGAAUAUUCUGCAGCAAGAACGAGUGCAUUGCCCGAUGUCACGAAGGCUAUCACUUCUCCGAGGGCACGAGUCGUCUCACCUUUGAGUGUGACAACGGUGUAUGGGUCGUCCGCCAGUCUUCCUGGAGCGGCACAACGCCAGACUGUCAGCCCAUCUGUGACCCCGCCUGUACGAAUGAGGGAAGAUGUAUCGCACCUAAUGUGUGUGAAUGUACUCCAGAAUACCGUGGUGACAUCUGCCAGUACCCUAUAUCAAACUGCGACCCCAAGAAUCUUGGCUUCAACGGUGGGUACAACUGCUCGGGCGAGGGCAUGGACUUCGGGUGUGUUCUCUGGUGCCCAGCGGACGUAGAGUUCGAUUUCCCAGCUGCGGAGUUCUACACCUGCGACUACAGCUCCGGCGUCUGGUCUCCGUCGCCCAUACCCAUGUGUGACUAUGGAUUCUUAGCAGUAACUCCCUCGCCCUUUGAGCCAAGUCGUGGGACGUACCCGCCAUUAUUCGGUGUAGACGCCAGCUUAAUUACUACCACACAAAAGGUCAAGAAGCUGCCAGGCUCCUGCUUCACCUGGUCUGGCACUCACUUCAAGUCUUUUGAUGGAAAAGUGUACAGCUUCGAGAGCUCGUGUCCCUACACCCUGCUGCAGGACUCGUCCCAUGGAACCUUCACCGUCAACUUGCGCACGGCUGACGGCUGUCAAGGGUCAUCUUGCCCCAAGGUCAUCCAGAUCUUCCUAGAGGACGACGAGUAUGUUCUCCAGGCCACAGAGACGGGUGAGCCAAGUCUGGCCUACCGGGACACCAACCUGGCCAUCCCUGGUCAGAUGAACGGUGUUGUGUCGGAGAGAGUGGCCCACUUCGUGGUGGUCAAGGUGUCCGGCCUGGGACUGACCAUCAAGUGGGACAUGAAGAGCUUGGUGGUGACGGAGAUAAGCGAACUGCUGUGGAACAGGACGUCAGGACUUUGUGGUCGCCGUGAUGGCUCCCAGGACAACGACUGGAGCUACGCUGACGGCACCCUGGAGCCUAACGUCAACUCCUUCCUGCAGGCGUGGCAGGCCAAGACCCUUGGAGAGCGGUGUCUGGACCGGCCAAAGACUAAGCAUCCGUGUGGCCGAAAAUCUGUAGGUUCCGAAGCUGACAGAUUCUGCGCUCGUCUCCGAGAUGACCCAAGAUUUGAAGAGUGUCGCCAGGUGGUGGACGUGGAGCCCUUCGUCAGCACCUGCCGCUGGGACUACUGCGACUGUCACUCCCAGGACCGGGAGACCUGUUCCUGUGAAACCUUCGCCGCCUUCUUCAGGGAGUGUAUCAGUGUCGGGAUAAACAUCCCGGACGGCUGGCGCUCACAGGAUCUCUGCCCGAUGGUGUGCGAGUCUGGCAAGGGGUACAACCCCUGCAUGUCUGCCAUCCAGCCCCGGUGUGGCCAGGCGGCAGACAGUGUGCGUCCAGACUUCUGCGUGGAGGGGUGCGACUGUCCCGCCAACCUGGUGCUCCACCAGAACCUCUGCAUCCCCGCUCAGGACUGUCCCUGCACCUACCGCGACAAGGUCUACAGCACCGGGGACACCAUACCCAACGACUGUAAUUCUUGCACGUGCCUGGGAGGAAACUGGGUGUGUACAGAGGUCAAGUGUGGCUCCCGGUGUGCCGUGGUGGGAGACCCUCACUACACUACCUUCGAUGGCCGCCAUUUUGACUUCAUGGGCAAGUGUUCGUACUACCUGGUCCAGGGCCAAGACUUCAGCAUCGAGGCCGAGAACACGCCCUGCGCUGGCGCCAUUUCUGAGAGCAUGAACUUCCCGGGGUCGGUGGUGAGCCAGUUCCCGUCGUGUACCAAGUCUGUGACGGUGCGGGUGGAGGGCACCGUGAUCCGCCUCAAGCAGGAUCGGGAGGUCACCAUCAACGGUGUGGAGCUGAAGGAGCUGCCCGCCUGGGUCAAGGGCGCCUACAUCAAGGCCGCCUCCAGCCUCUUCCUCAUGGUGGAGUUGGGCAAUGGGCUGGACGUGUGGUGGGACGGACAGACGCGGGUGUACAUAGACGCCCCGGCAGAGUUCCGCGGCAUGACAGCCGGGCUGUGUGGCACUUUUACUGACAAUCAGAGGGACGACUUCCUCACCCCAGAGGGAGACGUCGAGCAGAAUGUCAUCGCUUUUUCUAACAAGUGGAAGACUUCUGAGAAGUGCCCAGACCAGCCCCUGGCGGACGAGACCCGCCCGUGUGACAGACACGUACAGAACAAAGCAGUGGCAGAGAAGUUCUGUGCCAAACUUAAAUCAAAUCUUUUUGGAGCGUGUCACCUGGAGGUGGACCCUGACCCAUACUACCGUGACUGUCUGUACGACAUGUGCUCGUGUGAGACCAAGAUGGACGGCUGCCUCUGCCCCGUGCUGGCCGCCUACAGCAAGGAGUGCGCCAGGAAGGGCGUCCUCGUCGACUGGCGGGCUGAGGUGCGCCAGUGUGGCAUUCAUUGUACUGGUGGACAGAAGUACCAGGUGUGUGGCAACAGCUGUUCUCACACGUGCCUAGACCUGGCGACCAAUAGUGACUGCACAAGGAAGUGUGUGGAAGGGUGCAACUGCCUGGACGGGUUCUCGCUGGACGGCACGGGCAUGUGUGUGCCCGUGACGGAGUGCCCGUGUGUGUACGAGGCCAAGGAGUACAAGCCGGGCUACGAGAUGAUGCAGCAGCAGCCCGACGCCUCCUUCCUCGUCUGUGAGUGCUACAACGCCGGCUGGAACUGUUGGAAGCCCCGGGAGAACGAGACGGUCACUCGCCCGCCCCAGGUCGACUGUCACCAGGACAAGCACGAGGUCUACACUGACUGUCUCCCAGACGAGGAGAAUACCUGCCAGACGAUGCAUCUACGGCCCGUGACGAGUGACCUGUGUCGGCCGGGGUGUGUGUGUGCGUCAGGCUACGUCCGUGACGCAGACACGGGCGCCUGUAUCCGUCACAACGAGUGUCCCUGUCACCAUGGUGGCCGCUCCUAUGAUGAGAAGGCCACCAUCACUGAGGACUGCAACACCUGCACGUGUGAGGGCGGGCAGUGGGCGUGCACAGAGCACCAGUGCCCGGGCAUCUGUACGGCGUGGGGGGACUCCCACUACAAGACCUUCGACGGGCGCCUCUACGAGUUCUACGGCACCUGUGACUACCUCCUGGCCAAGGGCAAGGCCUCCACGGCUGAUCACUUCGAAGUCAUCAUACAGAAUGUGCCGUGUGGGACGGACGGGGUCACCUGCGCUAAGUCCAUCACCCUCAGAGUGGGCUCCGGCGACGCCCUCGAGGCUGUAGAGUUCUCCCGCAACAAGCCUACACCCACCAGAAAUAUGACACGAACCAUCAUCCGUGAGGCUGGAUUGUUCGUGUUCGCGGAGGUGACGGACAUGGGGCUGGUGCUACAGUGGGACCGUGGCACCCGCGCCUACCUCAGACUCGACCCUGUCUGGAAGGGCAAGGUGAGAGGUUUGUGUGGGAACUACAAUGGCGACGAACAGGACGACUUCCAGACACCAUCAGGAGGCUCCAGUGAGGUCUCCGUCAAGAUCUUCGGGGACUCCUGGAGGCUACAGAACUACUGCCCCGACAGUAUUUUGAUCAAGGACACAUGCAGCCUACACCCGCACAGGAAGGUGUGGGCGGCCGACCAGUGCGCGGUGCUCAAGACCCCAAUCUUCGCCGCCUGCCAUUCUGAAGUGCCUGUUGAACCCUACGAGGAACGGUGCCAGUUUGACGCGUGUGGGUGUGACACCGGCGGAGACUGUGAGUGCCUCUGCACUGCCAUAGCCGCAUAUGCUCAUGAGUGUAACAUACAUGGAGUUUACAUCAAGUGGCGAACGCCCAAGUUAUGUCCAAUGCAGUGUGAUGAAAGCUGUGAACAUUAUGAGCCCUGCAUUCCCACUUGCACUCAAGUGAACUGUGACACGCUGCUCGACCCCAGCUCUCCUAUCUGUACACAGGAUGCUUGUGUUGAAGGUUGUGCCAAGGAUAUUUGCCCUCCAGGCCAAGUGUACAAAAGUUCCACUGAUUUGGAAUGUGUUCCAAAAGCUGACUGUGAGAAAAAAUGCAUGGAAAUAGAUGGAAAAGUAUAUAUGGAAGGGGAUACCAUUUCCCAAGAUGACUGUCACACUUGUUCCUGUUCGCGUAAACAGAAAAUUUGUCGUGGAACUCCUUGUGUAUCAUCCACAACCACUACCAUGAGCACCAGCACCACUCCUGCCAGAGUUACCACACCUGAGCCAUCCACUUCUACACCAGAUGUUCAAGUGGGCGAAUGCAGAGAUGGAUGGUCAGAAUGGAUUAGUGAAGACAAGCCGAUCAUCUUCAGACAGAACUCGGACACUGAGAGGGUACCUGAGAAGAUAAAACAAAGCAAAGCUGGCAAAGGCGUGUGUGCACGUAGCCAAAUGGUAGGCAUCAUGUGCAGGAGCGUAGGGACCCACCGUCCCCACACAGAGCAGGAAGGUGUCCGGUGCACAUUGGAAGAGGAUGAGGGACUUGUGUGCCAGGGCCGUAGUGAUGCAACUGGAGCUGAAGCUUGCUGGGACUAUGAAGUGGCCUUCCUGUGUGACUGCAGUAUUACAACAGUGGAAAUUUCGUCCACAACCACUCCAUUAACACCUGUUACACCACCUGCAGUUGUAACUCCUUCCAUCCCACCAGAGAUUAAGGAAAUACCCAUGACCUGUGAUGAAGAGGGUUGGAGUCAAUGGUUCAAUGAACACUUCCCUGAUGUUGAUGGCGAGUUUGAGUCUUUGUCGGAGAUUCGUAAGACCUACUCACUCUGCCCAGAUCAUUACAUCACUGAUGUUGAAUGCCAACCAGUACGAGGAGGAGGGGUUGAGCCUAUUGUUACUUGUGACAAGUUGGGGGUCAGGUGCAGGAACAAUGCUGGGCAACAAUACUGCCAAGACUAUGAGGUACGAGUGCUAUGCCAAUGUGAAUGCCAAGAUGGUCUGGGCAUGGAGAACUACAACAUAACCAAUGAACAGAUUACUGCCUCCUCUCUUAAUACCCCCGAUGAUAAGCCAUACGGAGCUCGCCUCCACUCUGACUGGGCCUGGACUGCACAACCUAUUGAUGAGUUUGAUAAGAAUGCAGCAAAAGAUGAAUGGCUACAGGUGGACCUGAAGGAGGUAAAAGAGGUAACAGGUGUGGUAACUCAAGGACAUCCGUACUUUGAGCAGUUUGUGGAGACCUAUGCUGUCCAGGUUUCAGAAACAGGAGCAGUUUGGGAAGAUGUUAAAGAGAAAGGUGAAUCAUUUGCAAAGCAAUUCACUGGCAACAAUGACAGGUCAACUCCUGUGACAAACUUGUUCCCUGAACCUGUAUAUGCUCGCUAUGUGAGGAUCGUCCCCAUAGACUUCUAUUCUGCCAUAUCUCUCAGGGUAGAACUUAAGGGUUGUGAUACCAAAGAGAUGACAACACCUAUUGGAAUAACCUCAUCCACGGUAUCAUCAUCGGACACGACCACCAAGCCUACAUGUGUUAAUGGCUGGACGUCGUGGAUGAAUACUCACACACCCAGCCCUCAAGACUGGGAUGACAUGGAUGACCUUCGCUCCUUGGCAGAAAAGUACACAUUUUGUGCUUCCCACGAAAUUUUGUAUACUCAGUGUCAGGUGGUUGGCCUUGGACUGUCACCUGAGGCAUCAGGCCAGGUGGCCAUCACUUGCAAUCUCAACGCUGGCCUUCAGUGUAUCGAUAGUCUUCAGGCACCACAACAUUGCUUUGACUAUGAAGUCCGUUUCUACUGUGACUGCUCACAGAGCACAACAACAACAGAAAUAAGCCCUACAACAACUGAGCCCUCGUCCACUACUGUGACUUCAGACGCAUGCACUGUCUAUAUGCCACAGUAUAAAAUGCAUGAAACUGAUUGUCGCAAGUUUUAUCAGUGUUCCAGCACAUCUCUGACCGGGAUGACGUAUGUCGUCAAGGAAUGUGGUCCAAGUACUUUCUUCAACCCAGAAACCCUCACCUGUGAUUUUGAGUAUAAUGUGAUACAAGUGAGACAAGAAUGUAUUGCAGCAACAACAACACCACCAAAAUAUGCCGUCUCAGAUGAACCAACCACUACAACAAAGGAGCCGUGCACUGGGGACUACUGGACAGAAUGGUUCAAUGUUUCACACCCUGAUACAGACCGAGGAGACUUUGAAACAUUUGAUAAGAUCCGUGAGAAAGGCUUCAGUGUUUGUGAAGACAUGCACAUUAUGAAUAUAGAAUGCAAGUACAACCACGUGGAGAAGAGCUCGGAUAAAAAAGGUGGCUUCAAAGGUGGACGCAAAGGCAGUCCAAAAGGAGGUCGCAGAGGACAAGCCUUGGACAGGCUUACACAAGUAUUUGCCGAUUACACCAACAGUGAUGAUAUGUAUGUGCAUUGUACCACAGAAUCUGGGCUGAUUUGUCAAAAUGAUGACCAACCUGGACGUAGUAACAUUUGUGAAGAUUAUGCCAUUAGAGUCCUUUGUACUUGUGAGGCACCAGCAACCACUCCUGUGAGGCAGCCAUCCACCACACCGUACAUCGACGUGAGGGAGUCUACCAUACUCACUACACCCCAUGUGAUAGAUGACAGGUGUCCUCCAGGCCAGAGGUAUGAACCUAGAGCCAUACGUUGUGACAGAGUUUGUCUCUACUAUCAGCACUUCCUGCGACAAAAUGGAGAAUGUCUGCACGAUGGUCAGUAUGCUCCAGCUUGUAUAGAUGCUUUCUCCAGUGUGGGCUGCCCUGGCAACCAGUACUUGAGGGACAAGACAACCUGCGUUGCCAUUCAUGACUGUAACUGUCGCCUCCCUAAUGGCAUGCCAGCACCGCCAGGACAAGCCUUCCUUGUAGCCGAUUGUGAGAUGUGUCAGUGUGUUAAUAACUUCCUGAGAUGUGACUCAUCCAGCUGCAUCUCCACAACUCCUACUUCAGCACAGGUUACUGGCAAGCCAAUAUUUGAGUGUAAUAAAUGGAGCUCUUGGAUCAGUGAGUCAACCCCCAGUUCUGGUAAUGAGAUGGAGCUUCUCUCUGACCUACGCAUAAAAUAUCCAGAGUUGUGCGCCAGACCACGAAAAAUUGAGUGUAGAGUGACAGAAAGCCAUGAAUCACCAGAAGCAGCAGGACAGACAGUGACAUGCAACAGAAAGCUAGGCCUUGAAUGCUUCCGGUCACAAAAUACUGAAGACUGCAAGAAUUAUGAAGUACGCUACCUCUGCGAGUGUGGUGAACUGACCGAUUCCGAUGAGGGAGAAUUUACACGAUCUACAACAGAAAUCUCCACUACCAGUACCUACGGUGAUAUAUCAAUUACUAAUGCGACUACAGAGCUGCCUAUGCUAAAUGACAAGUGCCCCCCUGCCAUGACUUACGAACAGUGUGCAAUGCCAUGUUUAAGGAUAUGCAUGUACCAUCAGUCACUACUUAAACAACAUGGUGAAUGCCUGCUUGAUGGAGACUGUGCACCUGGAUGUGUUGAGAGGACUGAGAUGAACACGUGUCCACCUGGCUUCUUCAUGUUUAGUGAAGCAAGAUGUGUUGCCAUCGCAGACUGCAAUUGUCGACUGUCUAACGGACAGGCCUUACCGGCUGGAGUGUGGUAUAAUGUCUCCAAGUGUGAGCAGUGCAUGUGUCAGAACAACAAUUUGUUGUGCAGCCGCUCAGAUGAUUGUGAGGACUUAACAACUGAACCCUCUUACGUCACCAGUAGGCUUCCCACCAUAAAAUACACACCAGGUCUUCCAACCACCACCGAUCCUUAUUCUCAGAUUGAAAGCCUUGUAAGGUGUAAUGACUGGUCCCCCUACUACAAAAAGGAGAAGGACAGUGAAGGGCUAAUAUUGAGUUUGAACAUGCUUCGUACUCGCAGAGAAUUUGUGUGUGAAAACCCAGUAAAUGCAUCCUGCAGAGAAGUUAUUACAAAGCUUCCUGCAGCUGAUCUUGGACAAAUAAUAACUUGUGAUGCAGUGGAAGGUCUCAAGUGCCUAAAUAUACAAAAUACCAAAAACUGCCAUAACUAUGAAAUCUCUUUCUUCUGUGAAUGUGAUGAAACAACACCUAUUUCAACAACUGUUGUCACUCUAGGACCAACCACUUCUCUGGUACCAUGUGAUGCGUGGUCCCCAUGGAUCAAUGAUAUUAAACCCUGGCAGUCUAAUGGUGAUACUGAAUUUAAGACAAUUGAAGAACUGCGAGAGAAAUUCCAAUUUUGUCUGGAGGGUCAGCUGGCAGACAUUGAGUGUGUGGAGACGGCCACUGGCUUGAAAACUGCUGCAGAUAAGGGGACCACCUGUGAUGUUCGAUAUGGGUUCCGAUGUAGCAAUGAAGACCAGGACCGCGGUAGCUGUCUUGACUACAAGAUUAGAUACUAUUGCUCAUGUGAAACAACAACUGUGACGACUACAAUCAUUCCAUACUUCUUCACUCCUCCUCCAAGAUGUGAUCCAGAUAAAUUCAAAAACCUGCUUCAAGAGGUGGAUGACAGUGCCUUCUCUUCUACUACUGCUCGCAACUCUGUAUAUGGAGCUUCGAGAGCGCGUCUUUUUGAUGCUGAUGGUAGCCUUUCCACUAAAAGCUGGGCAGCCCUGAUCAGCAACCACGAUCAAUUUAUACAAGUUGACCUGGGCUCAGUGGUUCCUGUGUAUGGGGUAGAAGUGGCUGGCAACCCUCUCACCAGAGAGAGAGUCACAGCCUACACAAUCCAACACUCAAGAGAUAACAACAUAUGGAGUGUACUGCCAGAUGAUCCUAAAUAUCCAGCAAGCUCCCCCAAGAUUUUCCAAGGUCCGUGGAGCCCACUAGCACCCUUGAAGCAGCUAUUUAGUGAACCUAUAGAGGCACGAUAUCUGAGGUUGAAACCUACUGAAUGGCAUCGAGCCAUUGCUCUGAGAUUUGAAGUGAUUGGUUGUGAUCUUCCAACAGUCACUCCUCCAUCCACAACAGUCAGAGAACCCGAGUGUGAGGAGCCGAUGGGAUUGGAGACGGGAGAGAUGUCAGAACUUCAGAUUACAGUUUCCUCAGUCCUAAAUGAUCAGGAGUACUUCUAUGGGAAGCAAAACAUUCCUCUAAACAGCCGAGCAACACCAUACACAUCGGCUGGGGCCUGGCUAGCAGAGCCCAAACCUGACCAGUUUAUUAGAUUUGACUUUAUGGAGCCAAGCAAGUUGUCAGGAGUGGUAACACAGGGGCGAGAUGGUGCUGAUGAAUGGGUCGAGUCCUAUACUGUCCGUUACUCCCCCGAUGGUCAGACCUGGAACACUAUAAAGGACCCUGAUGGCAGUGAUAAGAUUUUCCCAGGCAACUUUGACAGAAACACCCAAGUUGAGAACAAGUUUGACAGAAUUGUACAAGCACGCUUUUUGGAAAUCAGACCAAAAACAUGGAAAACCAAUAUUGCCCUAAGAGCUGAAGUACUCGGCUGUUUCCAUCCAUAUCCUGAAGUGACCACUACGCCAGCUCCAGCUUUGACAACCACACAGCCACCUCCACCUUAUUGUUCUGCCUGCCCUGGCCUCCCAGAGGAGUAUUAUGACAAGUGUAUUCCAUGUAAUUCUGGAGAAUAUUUUGAUGGCCAGUCUUGUGUGUCAAAAUUGUUGUGCUCUUGCUUCGAAGAUGGUUACAGAUAUAAUAUUGGAACUCUCUUCGUGACAAAGGACUGUGAAGAGUGUGAAUGUAUAACAGGCGGAGACACCGUGUGUAUGAAGAAAGAAUGUCCGCCAUGUGAAGAUGGUCAGCAAUCUGUGUCGACUCCGUCUUGUGGGUGUGUGUGUAAACCAUGUCCUCCAGGAAGCAAACUUUGCCCCUCCAGUAACUACUGCUUAAAUGAAUCUUCUUGGUGCAAUGGUCUUGAAGAGUGUCCAGAUGAUGAGCUUAAUUGUCCAACAACAACACCAGAAAUUCCUGAUGUCUGUCCAACACCAUAUUGCCCUGACCAUUGGGUGACGAAGGUGCGGGCAACAAAGGGCUUGUGCCCUACCAUCGUAUGUGAACCACCAGAGGUCACCACUCAUCUACCUUGCCCUCUUCCAUUCUGUCCACCUUAUUAUAACCUUGUGCUAGUUCCUAACGAGUUUGGUGGCGUGUGUCCAGAGUAUGAGUGCAUUCCUCCAGUCACAACAAUGGAGAUGCCUACAUGCCCUCCUCCAAGUUGUCAAGAGGGCUAUGUUGUCCAGGAAUCAGACUACAUCUAUGAAUUAUCACAACAAACCUCUGAUGAUGGUUGCACUCAGUACCAGUGUGUGACAGAAGUACCUCCCACGGCACCCUGCCAACCUCCCGUUUGUAUGGAGGGAUAUGACAUCUUCUUUGCUGACUCCAAGGAACUUUUAAAAUUAUGUCCUCAGUAUGACUGUGUACCAAUCUCUGUAACUACUGUGUGUCCACCAGUGGAAUGCCCAUCAGAUCUCCGCAUCAUGUACAUCCAGAGUUCAGAGUCAUCAGCAUGCCCACAAUAUACCUGUGUCCAGGUCACUACACCUUUCCCCACCACUACAUCUCAACCACAAGUCUCAACAUGUGCUCCGAUGGAAUUGCCAAUCUGUGGAUUAAAUGAGGAAUUUUAUCAGACUAAUCCUGAAGAAACAUGUCCAGAAUUUGCUUGCAGACCCAUUGGAAGUCCAGAACCAACUCCAGGCCUGCCAAAAGUUAUCAGUCCAGAAUGUAACAUGGAAGGGCGCACCUUCAAUUCCUUUGACGGUUCAGAUUAUGAACUAGAACCAUGUAAUCACAUCCUGGCUGAGGAUAAGAUCAACAAAGAUUGGAUUGUAUCUGUACACAAGAACUGUUCUGAGAGCGAAAAAUGUGACCGUUACUUAAACAUUACGCAAGAAGAUAAGCAGCUGAUUCUUCGGCCAGACCUACUCAUCAUUUGGGAUGAAAACACCUAUACUGUCACUCAGGCUCAGCGCAUUGGCACAUCUACAAAUACCUUCAGUAUCUCUCGAGUAGGCGACUCCAUCUACUUCCAGUCUAAAACACACAGCUUCAGUGUUGAAUGGAAUGUUGAGAUGAAUGUCAAUAUCAUUCUUGGAGAUCAUCUAGUUAAUAAGGUAGAUGGUUUGUGUGGCUUCUACACAGGAGAUUCAAAUGAUGAUAAAACUAAACCUGAUGGUAAACUUGCAACUUCCAUCAAAGAAUAUGGUCAGUCAUGGAAUUUAGCCAAUGAAGAAUGUGAAGAAAAACCCAAGUGUACAUCAGAAAUCACAGUCAAAGCAUUUGAACUAUGCAAUACUAUUCAAGCCAGACCAUUUACUGAAUGCCACAGCACUGUUGAUGCAACACCAUUUAUGAAGAAAUGUGUAGAUUCUGUUUGUGAGUGUUUAAAUGGAGGCACUGAUGAAGAGUGCCGAUGCCAGGCUCUUACACGUUACAUCACCCAGUGCCUUGAGAAGUAUCCUGAAGCUCCUGUCUCAGAUUGGCGCAUUAUAGCUAAGUGCUAUGAGGAAUGUGGUCCGGGUGAAAUUUAUCAAGAUUGUUUCCGCUCCAAAUGUGAGAAGAGUUGCGAUAAUAAGCACGAUGAAAGUCUCUGUCCAGAGGUGGAUGGAUCUUGCAUCCCUGGGUGCUUCUGUAGCCCUGGUUUGGUACGCAAGGGAAAUCGUUGUGUUAUUCCUGAACAAUGUCGAGACUGUGUCUGCGAAGGUUAUGGUGACCCACACUACAUGACCUUUGAUCGACAUAAUUACACCUUCAACGGAGAGUGUUCUUACAUUGCUGCACGUGAUACAAAUGCUCGAGGUCAACAUAAAUUCCAGGUGAUCACCCGUAACAAGAGGUGUACCCAAGAGCCAGUCACUGUGUGUACUGAUGCCAUAACUAUCCUCUUCAAUUCGCACACGGUCUUUAUCUCUGCCACUGAUGAAGACGGAGUCAAAGUCAUUAUUGAUGAAGAUGAAGUGACCAGCUUCCCACAUCGUGAGCCUUGGCUGGCAGUUGAACAACCAGAUUCCUCACAGAUUAUGGCUGCCAUUCCUGAUAUACAUUUAGAAGUGACUUUCUUCUUUGAAAAUUAUGGAUUCUCCAUUCGUUUACCAUCAAAUAUUUACUUCAACAAAACAGAAGGACUGUGUGGUAACUGUAAUCACAAUGAUGAAGAUGACCUAGUAGACAGGAACACAGGCUUUGAUGAGUCUGUUGACACAUUUGGACGUAGCUGGUUGUUAGAAAAUGAACCGCUCACCUGCGGAGUUUUGGAGAAAGAUGCCACACUCUGUAUUCCACUGCCUCCAGACCAAGACCCAUGCCUGAAAAUUAUGGAUGAAGACUUAUUUGGAAAGUGUCACCCAGUGGAGGAUCCAGCAGCCUACGUGUCAUCUUGUCAGCUUGAUGCAUGUGGUAGUCGUGAACCCCAGGUAGCAGCAUGCCACAGUCUUGAGGCUUAUGCCAGGCGCUGUGCUCACCUAGAUAUUUGUUUAGAUUGGCGCUCUGAAGAACUAUGUCCAAAGUCUUGCACUGGAGGUCAGGAGUAUCAGUCUUGUGCACCUGGUUGUGUACGCACAUGUGAUAAUUAUGAGGAACUUCAAAAUAACCCUGAGGCUUGUCCCAUAUCUUCUGUUGAUGGCUGCUUCUGUCUUGAUGGCAUGGUAUUGGAUAAAGGAAACUGUAUAAAUGCAAGUUACUGCAAGACGUGUGAUGAUGAAGGGCACCGUAUCAAUGAGGUGUGGCAGACAGAUACUUGUACCACGUGUGAAUGUACUAGUCAAGGUAGCAUCUGCAGCACCAAGACCUGCCCUGAAGACCCCAUCUGUGAUGAAGGAUACAUUGUGGUUGAGGUUAACGGAACUGGGGAUGAAUGCUGUGGACCAAGAAAGAAAUGCAAAGUGAAACCUACUGAAGAUUGUCCUCCACCAGUUGAGCCAAAAGAUGGGUGCGGAUAUGGUCAGCGACAGAAACUCAUAGAGGCACCAGGCGUGUGUCCUCAGUAUGCCUGUGUAUGCCUGGAGCAAGAAGACUGCCCAUAUUUGUCUACUCCUGAUGAUAAUGCUCUUAAACCAGGAGAGAAGUGGAUACGAGAUGAGUCUGGGUGUUGUGCCAGAUACAUCACACAGUGUACUGGAGUGUGUCCAGUGGUCACUUGUCCGGAAUUCCACACCCUGACUGAAGAACCGCUGAAUGGGGAGGAGUGUUGCCCUAAGACUAAGUGUGAUCAUCCUGCAGAUGCAUGCAUAUAUGAGCACCAAUACCUCAUUGAUAUCAUUGGCAAUCAACAACCAGCAAAUACUUCUGAUGUUCCCGUGAAGAAACUGUACAAGGUUAAUGAGAGCUGGGAAGAUGGCUUGUGUUUGAAUUGUAAAUGUUUACAAGAAAGUGAAGGACACCCACGACAUCAGUGUACCAAGCAAACGUGCCCAACUCUUGACAGUCAUCCUGACCGUGGUCGUUACGAACUGGAGAGUGUAGAAACACCAGGUCAAUGCUGCCCUACAGUAACCAGAACUGCAUGUAUUGAUGACUAUGAAGUUAUUAAGAUUGGGGAGACAUUCAGUGACCCGCUGAAUGCAUGUCGAAGUGUUGAAUGCGUGAAGACCACAGAAGGCAAGGUGGAUAAAAUAGAAAAGAUCUACUCGUGUGAUGAAUCGUGCCCUGCAGGCUGGGAAUAUGAACCGUCGCCUCUCUACCCUCAACAGUGCUGUGGAGAGUGUGUCCAGGUUGCCUGUGUUGUGGAAGGUGAAGUGAAGCCUGUGAAUGCAACCUGGGUCUCCGAGGACCUGUGCACCACCUAUACUUGCUCAACAGAUAAACAUGACCAGAUUCAGAUCCAGGCUGUAGAUGUUCAGUGUUCCAAACCAAGCGAAGACGAUCUAAAGAAAUAUGUAUUUGAGGAGAGCAAAGUGCCUGGAGAGUGCUGCUCUCUCUAUACCCGUGUCACUUGCCUUUUAGAUGGCAUUCACAUCCCUAUUGGGGAAAGUGUUCAAGACCCCCAGGACAAUUGUGCGACUAUCACCUGUGAAGCCGGUGCAGAUCAAAAUGCUACUCGUAGGGAGAAGGAGACAAAUUGUGUCACAAAGUGUGACCUGGGUUCAACAUAUGCUCCACCAUUACCUUUCAGCAAUGAUUGUUGUGGUAAAUGUGUCAAGACACACUGUGUUGAUGAUGGCAGAUCUUACUCCAUUGGUGAACGCUGGGAAAGUCACGGAGAUGUUUGUUAUGAGUACAGUUGUGAGGCCCGUAAUGAGGUUCUCACCACUAUUGCUGCCAAAAAGGAAUGUCCGUACUUUGACCCUGAGUGUCCUGAGGAGGAGAUUUUUAUGGAUGAAUUAGGCUGUUGUAAAUUGUGCAACAUUACCAGACAAGAAAAAAGUAAGAGACUGCAAACCAAAGCCCAUGCCUGCCCAUGAAACUAUAGGCAUCUUCCAAAUCUCAACAAGACAUGUGGGAACAUGUAAAAACCCUGCCCCAGUGCCAGACUUCAGGCAGUGUUCUGGGCACUGUGAUUCCUUCACAAUGUUCCAAGGCCAAGGUCGACAAGCAAAUCAUAUCUCGACAUGCUUCUGCUGUAAAGCUUCCAGGAUGGAAAAGAUAAGAGUCCAGUUGAGAUGUGACUCGGGAGUAACCUUCAGUCCUGUCUAUAACAACAUCGUAGAGUGUGAAUGUCAGAAGUGUAAUGAUGGUGUGCCUGAAUACAUGGGUGAUGACCCAAGCCUUGAUGAUAUUGACUUCUAUUCCAUGACAGAAGAUACUCU